UUCAUUCAUAACAUGGUUACAAUGUUUUAUUGUUUGCUAAUGGCUCUACCAAAUGAAACCCUUUGUCAAAUUUUUUUUCUGUGUAAAACAAUCCCUUUCUUUGUUGAUGAGUUGUUUUCUGUUCCCAUUGUUUUUUGUUAACUUGACCAACAAUUUUGAACCAUAAAUUGUUAUUUUUUAUUGUUUUUUAAUAUUUGUGCAAUACUUUGACUUUAUUUAUUGAUUUAUUUAGGAGAUAAUGAACAACAUAGUGUACCUUAUUGGUGUAAACAAGGAUAUAUAUGUGUGUGUUAUAAUUUUUAUGAUUUCAAUGAACAAAUAUUUGUUGAUCAGACAAUUUCUUCUUAUGAUCACACAAGUUUAAAAGAAGGGCUGUGAUGUCCUGUAAUGGUGGACAAAUAGCCUGCUGUCCAUUCAAAUUGUUGAUUUCUGCAAACUACCAUAUGUUUUAACAUAAUUAGAUAUUUUCAGUGCAAUGCUCCCUAGAAAAUGUAAAUGAUUACUUUAAAGUAAAAGAGAACUAUUGAAAUUGAUAUUAUAUUUAAUAUUUGAAUAAUUUCAAUUUAAUGGACACAAGUUGUAUAAAAAUUGAUAUGAUAUAGAUAUUGGAAGAUGGUAAUUUAUAUGACACAAAUUAAUUUAAUGCUGUUUUUUGCAUAUUUCAUACUUAAAGUUUUUUAGGUAUGGUUAAAUAACUUUUAUAAUUUAUAAGAUUAAUCUUUAUUAUUCAUCAUGGCCAACAAACUUAAAACAGCAAGUUUUCACUUUUUAUAAAAGUGAUACAAGUCCUAUCAAGAAGUUAAUUAGUUUAAAUUCUAGGGUGAAUAAAUAUUGUAACUUGAAAAGAACAAUUUUCCUGACUUUCUUGUUUUUAAUCAACUAUUUAAGGAUGUCUGCUGAUGAAAAUAGAAACUUUGCGAUUAAAAUCUUUUUCAAUAAAGAAUUUGUAACAUAUCUUUAUUUUGGAUAAAUAAAGGAAGGUCCAUAUGACUAAUUUUUGCAUACAAGCAGUUGAACAUUUUUAUUGUAUGACAAAUGUCUCUGUUUUUUUUUUCAUAUUAAAGUUUUGAGGAACUGUAUUAUAAAUCUGUGUGACAUACAAAGCAGAAACAACAAAAACUUGAAAAUAUUUGUUAGAAAUAAUUUCAGAUGUUUUUGUUUAAAUUUUUGAAAAAUCAAGAGGUUACUAAGCAAAACAUUUCAGUGCAUUACUCAGAAAAAUGCAGAGGAGUUACUAAAAUUUAUAAAAAGUUUUAAAAUUUUCUCAGCAAACAUCCUUAAGGAGGAACAUGGCAAUUUUAUGUAAUGUAUUUUAAGAAAUGAUUCAUGUGGUAUUUUAUUUAUGAGAUUAAUUUAUUAAUAAAGUUGUUAGAUACAAAUCUAUGCAUUAAGUAUAAAUGUGGGUCAAGUUGUUUUAGAGGUAUUGACUUAUUAAAUAAAUUAUAUUUUAU
rnacentral:lncRNA from 1 species